CAUGCUGUAACGAAAUAAUUUCUCUAGCAAACGGGAAUCUCAGGGCAAAGAAUAAAAAAUCUCCAAUGGCUGGAUCAUCCCGUUUCCCUCCUCUACACUUGACAAUCAACGCUCUCAUUCUUCCACACAAUGGGAUUACGCGCCCAAAUGAUUCUAUCAUAUGUCAACCAUUUCCAUUUUCAGCACAUGCCCAAGUUGGAACCAGAAAGGAUUGUGCACGCACCAGAACCAGGGUUCUAAGGGAGUGGCAGGAAUACGAGGAGGCGGUGAAGCAUAAAGACCUGGCCAAGGCUCUCAGAUUAUUGAAAGAUAUACCCAUUGAAUCUGAAAAUUCUUCGAUUGAGUCAACCCAGUCAUCGGGUGGUGAGUUGGGUUUGUUUGGAUCGGAUAGGGAUUGGGAGGUUCUGGACACGUGCUUGAAUGCUGAUGACAUGAUGCUUGUGGGUAGUGCUUAUGCUUUUCUGAAAGACAGGGGGUUCUUGCCCAAUUUCGGAAAAUUCCGCAAUAUUGUAUUAGAGGGACCAAGAGAAGUUACACCAACUGUGUUGAAGACUUCAACUGGUUUAGAAGUGUCAAAAUUUUCACCAAAAAAGUGGGGUGUUUCUGGAAGCUCUAGUGUUGUUUCGAUCUUUAUGUUUGCUGGAGUGUCUUUUCUUCUGAGUCAAGGAAUAGAUAUCAGACCUAACCUAGCAGCAGUAUUGGGGUUAGCCAUGUUAGAUGCUAUUUUUCUCGGUGGUUCAUGCUUAGCCCAAAUCUCAAGUUACUGGCCUCCAUAUAAGCGCCGCAUUUUAGUUCAUGAAGCUGGUCAUCUUCUUGUAGCAUACCUGAUGGGUUGUCCAAUUCGAGGUGUAAUUUUAGACCCAAUCGUUGCAAUGCAAAUGGGCAUUCAGGGACAGGCAGGAACUCAGUUUUGGGAUGAGAAACUUCAAAAUGAGCUUGCUGAAGGCCAUGUCAGUGGUACUGCCUUUGACAGGUAUUGUAUGGUUCUCUUUGCUGGGAUUGCAGCUGAAGCUCUCGUCUAUGGAGAUGCUGAGGGUGGAGAAAAUGAUGAAAAUCUAUUUAGGAGCAUCUGUGUUCUUCUGGAACCUCCACUCUCUGUUUUACAGGAGACACUUCUGCUAGGGUCCAGUUGCUCUCCAUUCCAAGUGGAUGUUUUAGCCUAUGUUUGGCUCAUGUUUAUAAACACUCAAGCCACUUUUUAUCCACACAUUUUGAGGGACCCAUAAAUGCUAUCCGUUUAUCCUCCACUCAUUUCUAUCUUUUUAUAAUUUAAAUCGUUUAUAAACACUUCUCAAACAUGUCCUUGGUUUAGUUCUUUCACAAACAUAAUAAAUAAGAAAUGUGAAAUGCCACUAAGCUACCAGAAAUUGUAUUUUAUUUAUUUAUUUAUUUUUUUACAGAGAGGUGAAAACAAAAGAAAAUCACUUAUAUUCUCAACAACGUCCAAUCUUGAACAUCAUUUACCACACUGUUACUACUGGAAUACCACUAUAUUUGCAACUGCAUUGUUCACCACUGUGAUUACCCACCCAAAACAAUAAUGAUCCCAUGAACUCUUACCACCAUCAACCAAGUCCCUUCCUAUCGUAAUGUUGUCCAGAGACUCCAGACAACUUUCACAUUUUUGUCAGCCUGAUGCUCAAAUUCAAAUUCCUUUAUCAUUGAUGAUCACGUAAAUGAGUGAGGACCCAAAUUAUCAUCUUGCUGAUUGGAAUAGGAAGUUGUAAGUUUUGGUAGUCUUAUGCUAGCCCUAUAGUCAUCAUUAGAGGGCUAUGGAAUAAGGUAGAGGGCUGAUUGGGUGAUGUCUAGUGGGGAUGUCAUGAUUCAAUUGCCAUGAUAGGAGGCAAUGGUUCAUGGCAUAGGUGGAGACAAUGAUGAUAAAACUUGUAGCUGAGGUUAGAGAUGAUGAUAUGAACCAAUAGAUGAUGAUGGAAACAGAAAAUGGUGUUGACACUUGGUGGUGAGUGGAGAAAGGGUAAUCAAAGGCCCGAGCCUGCAAGGUGGAAGCAAUGUUUGGUGCUAAAUCUAGUGUUGGUAAUUGUGGUUUUGGAGAUGGUAGAGGCAGCUCAGAUUUAGUAGAGGCCAGGGUUUGGGAAAUGAGUUGAGAAGAAAGGAUUGGAAACAGUUUAGGCAGAUGUCAAAUCAAGCACGUUGGUCGGUGCUGCAAUCUUACAAUUUGAUCAAAUGGCAUAAACACGCUCACAAUGCUGCUGUCAAAGCUCUUGAAAAUGGAGGCAAUCUGAGUGUAGUCAUACGGAGAAUUGAG